rnacentral:rRNA from 1 species
UACAGAGGGGGCAAGCGUUGUUCGGAAUUACUGGGCGUAAAGGGCGCGUAGGCGGCCUGCUAAGUCGGAACGUGAAAUCCCCGGGCUCAACCCGGGAACUGCGUCCGAUACUGGUGGGCUUGAGUGCAGGAGAGGAACGCGGAAUUCCAGGUGUAGCGGUGAAAUGCGUAGAUAUCUGGAGGAACACCGGUGGCGAAGGCGGCGUUCUGGACUGGCAACUGACACUGAGGAACGAAAGCCAGGGAGCAAACGGG